UACGAAGGGGGCUAGCGUUGCUCGGAAUUACUGGGCGUAAAGCGCUCGUAGGCGGUCUUUUAAGUCGGGGGUGAAAUCCUGGAGCUCAACUCCAGAACUGCCUUCGAUACUGGAAGACUCGAGUCCGGGAGAGGUGAGUGGAACUGCGAGUGUAGAGGUGAAAUUCGUAGAUAUUCGCAAGAACACCAGUGGCGAAGGCGGCUCACUGGCCCGGUACUGACGCUGAGGUGCGAAAGCGUGGGGAGCAAACAGG
rnacentral:rRNA from 1 species